UAACAGUCAAAGUGACAUCCCUCAGCAGGUUCGUUGAAUGUGAUGGGUGAGGAGGAAAGAACUUGCAGGUCGAGGAAGGUGAGGGUAAAAUGAGCACAUGCUGAGAUGCUGUUUGGGCUCUGUUUUCUUCUCAAGGCAGUUCUAGAUUUCGUCUCAGAUGAAAUGAUGAGGAUACAAAGCUUCCGUCAGACCCCACCCCUACCUGACAGCCCUGCGGGAGAAAGGAGCUGUCCUGAGACGCUGGCUCACAGUGCCCCAUUGUCCUCUUCUUAUCUUGGUGUGUGAAAAUGGGUGACUUUGCCACCGUUGAGUGGAAACAAGGAGCAUACCGAAGAGGACAGCGAGAAGUGCCAGCAUCCUUCUGAGUCAAAAGGAGCAAGGAAAACCCUGUCAGCAACUGCAUGUCAGUUCACAUGUCAACUCCUCCUGUUGACAACUGAUGUCUUAAGAGCUGGGUCGAGAAUUCUGAGUCACACCAAAGGUCAGUGGGAAAGAGCGCCAUGCCAGUUAACUACAACUGCCAUGGGUGGAGGAUGGGUGAGUACCAACUUACCUUCCCCAAGAGUGCCAGGUCUGAGGAUUGGUGAGUACCAACUUACCUUCCCCAAGAGUGCCAGGUGCUGAGAAGGACAAAACUGGGCAGAGGGCCUUUGAUCGCAUCCCUCAAAAGUUGCAACAGUGGAAAUUCUAAGAGUGCUCUGAUUUUUGAAGGAAGUUUGUCUGUGAAUCAAGUGGCCAUACAGCAAGCCAACCUCAUCGUAGGAGAAGCCGUGAGCCUCACUCUCUAGGAUAUAUCCUUACUUGGGGAAUCCACUCUUUUGGCUUCAUACUCAUUAAGAUGGGAGAGGCCAAGAGAAGGGGUUUUGGUAAGCAUGGUAUCAGAAGACCAAAUAGUCAGGACCAUGCUCACUUUGUGAAAAUGUCGCUUUCUUAAUUGCAUUGUUGGGGAUUUACCCCAAAGAUUCAGAUGCAAUGAAACGCCGGGACACCUGCACCCCAAUGUCUCUAGCAGCAAUGUCCACAAUAGCCAAACUGUGGAAGGAG